UUGGACAGAUGCUGGGCCUUGGAAGAC
rnacentral:piRNA from 1 species